rnacentral:rRNA from 1 species
GAUGAACGCUAGCGGCGGGCCUAAUACAUGCAAGUCGAACGGGAUUAGGUAGCAAUAUCUAUGAGAGUGGCGCACGGGUGCGUAACACGUAUGUAACCUACCUUUAACUGGGGAAUAGCUUCGAGAAAUCGAAAUUAAUACCCCAUAACAUUUAGAAAAGGCAUCUUUUCUUUAUCAAAGCUCAGGCGGUUAAAGAUGGACAUGCGGUGCAUUAGCUUGUUGGUGGGGUAACGGCCUACCAAGACUACGAUGUCCAGGGGUUCUGAGAGGAAGGUCCCCCACACUGGUACUGAGACACGGUCCAAACUCCUACGGGAGGCAGCAGUGAGGAAUAUUGGUCAAUGGGCGGAAGCCUGAACCAGCCAAGUAGCGUGCAGGAUGACGGCCCUAUGGGUUGUAAACUGCUUUUAUACAGGAAUAAAGUUAGCCACGUGUGGUUAUUUGUAGGUACUGUAUGAAUAAGGACCGGCUAAUUCCGUGCCAGCAGCCGCCGUAA